GAACUCAUCACAUCCUGUGAUCUAGCGGACAAACCCAUUUUACAACUCCAUGUAUAUUCGACGGCAUUUUCCACAUUUGAAGGCCUCAAUUGCAAUACAUAUGGUGCAGACUGUGUCAGGCAAGACAAAGGAAGUGGAAUAAUUUCAUAUACCAUGUGAACUAUUUGAUGAGCUUCCACUUAUCCCAGAACAAUACAAGAGUUCAUCGGACUCUCUGAGAGUUGACACACAUAUUUCAGAAACUUCUUUCGAACUCAUCACAUCCUGUGAUCUAGCGGACAAACCCAUUGUACAACUCCAUGUAUAUUCGACAGCAUUUUCCACAUUUGAAGGCCUCAAUUGCAAUACAUAUGGUGCAGACUGUGUCAGGCAAGACAAAGGAAGUGGAAUAAUUUCACCCGGUUUUAAGGGCCCAAGAUAUAUUUGCGAUUUGAAAUCUUUGGCCACUGGUUUCCUCUUCCU
rnacentral:lncRNA from 1 species